ACAUGCCUGCAUCAUAACAUUAAUGCACCAAAUCCCAUUAGAACUCCACAUUUAAGCAUGCUCAGGCUAGAGUAGUACUGGGAUGGGUGACCGCCCGAGAAGUCCUAGUGUUUUACAUGCC
rnacentral:rRNA from 1 species